rnacentral:tRNA from 1 species
GCGCCGGUGGUCUAGUGGUAUGAUUUCACCCUGCCACGGUGGAGGCGCGGGUUCGAUUCCCGCCCGGCGCA